CCCUGCUAUUGCUAUAUCCCAGUCAUUUUUCUCAUUAUACCAUGUCUUUGUAACAGCGACUAAAUCUACAUUAUCAGCUGCCAUUAUUGCCACAAGUUCAUGGAUCUUAUUCCCUAAACUGCGAGCAUUUGUAGACAUGACUCCAAGCUUAUCAUUUUUUAACACACUUGCUACAGGCACAUUCUGUCCUUGUUUUGGGGGGCAAUUGGA